AACGACUCUCGGCAACGGAUAUCUCGGCUCUCGCAUCGAUGAAGAACGUAGCGAAAUGCGAUACUUGGUGUGAAUUGCAGAAUCCCGUGAACCAUCGAGUCUUUGAACGCAAGUUGCGCCCGAAGCCAUCAGGCCGAGGGCACGUCUGGCUGGGUGUCACGCAAC
rnacentral:rRNA from 1 species